CCGCCUGGGGAGUACGGUCGCAAGACUGAAACUCAAAGGAAUUGACGGGGGCCCGCACAAGCGGUGGAGCAUGUGGUUUAAUUCGAAGCAACGCGAAGAACCUUACCAGGUCUUGACAUCCUCUGACAAUCCUAGAGAUAGGACGUCCCCUUCGGGGGCAGAGUGACAGGUGGUGCAUGGUUGUCGUCAGCUCGUGUCGUGAGAUGUUGGGUUAAGUCCCGCAACGAGCGCAACCCUUGAUCUUAGUUGCCAGCAUUCAGUUGGGCACUCUAAGGUGACUGCCGGUGACAAACCGGAGGAAGGUGGGGAUGACGUCAAAUCAUCAUGCCCCUUAUGACCUGGGCUACACACGUGCUACAAUGGACAGAACAAAGGGCAGCGAAACCGCGAGGUUAAGCCAAUCCCACAAAUCUGUUCUCAGUUCGGAUCGCAGUCUGCAACUCGACUGCGUGAAGCUGGAAUCGCUAGUAAUCGCGGAUCAGCAUGCCGCGGUGAAUACG
rnacentral:rRNA from 1 species